rnacentral:rRNA from 1 species
UUAAAUUGAAGAGUUUGAUCAUGGCUCAGAUUGAACGCUGGCGGCAGGCCUAACACAUGCAAGUCGAACGGUAACAGGAAGCAGCUUGCUGCUUUGCUGACGAGUGGCGGACGGGUGAGUAAUGUCUGGGAAACUGCCUGAUGGAGGGGGAUAACUACUGGAAACGGUAGCUAAUACCGCAUAACGUCGCAAGACCAAAGAGGGGGACCUUCGGGCCUCUUGCCAUCGGAUGUGCCCAGAUGGGAUUAGCU